UACGUAGGGGGCAAGCGUUGUCCGGAAUCAUUGGGCGUAAAGAGCGUGUAGGCGGCCCGGUAAGUCCGCUGUGAAAGUCCAGGGCUCAACCCUGGGAUGCCGGUGGAUACUGUCGGGCUCGAGUCCGGAAGAGGAGUGUGGAAUUCCUGGUGUAGCGGUGAAAUGCGCAGAUAUUAGGAAGAACACCAGUGGCGAAGGCGGCUCACUGGCUCGGUACUGACGCUGAGGCGCGAAAGCGUGGGGAGCAAACAGG
rnacentral:rRNA from 1 species